AUCUUGCGCAAUGGCCGAAAGGCUGACGCAGCGACGCCGCGUGGGGGAGGAAGGGCUUCGGCUCGUAAACCCCUGUUGCCCGGGGCGAACAUCCUGUUUCGACAGGACUGACGGUACCGGGUGAGGAAGCACCGGCUAACUCCGUGCCAGCAGCCGCGGUAAUACGGAGGGGGCUAGCGUUGUUCGGAAUUGCUGGGCGUAAAGCGCGCGUAGGCGGCUUUGUAAGCCAGAUGUGAAAGCCCCGGGCUUAACCUGGGAAUGGCAUUUGGGACUGCAAGGCUUGAGUGCGGCAGAGGAGACUGGAACUCCUGGUGUAGCAGUGAAAUGCGUAGAUAUCAGGAGGAAUACCGAUGGCGAAGGCAGGUCUCUGGGCUGACACUGACGCUCAUGCACGAAAGCGUGGGGAGCAAAC
rnacentral:rRNA from 1 species